AAUAGAGAGCUGAGUCAGUAGGUAGCCCCGUAUCGGGCCAGAGAACCCCCGGAUCUAACAAUAAAUUGGCAGGAGCUGCCAGUGGGCAACACAGUCCAGCUAGGCUGAGUAACGGAGCUAACCGCUAACAACAUUGACGGAAGUUGGAUUGAGUUACAAUGUGAUGUAUUCAGGGUCUAUUCAGUAAAAAAUAUUGAGCGAAAGGUAUAACUUCAUCAUGACGUGUUAAAUUGCAAUCUUGUAAAAUUAAGUUUUUGGCAAGAAACUUGAAUAAAUGCAGUUUUGUGGACAAGAAAUGGAACUGAGUCCUCUUUCAAAUAAAGUGAGGAUGUUAACGCAAAUGGAACUGAGUCCCUUUUCUGUUGGUCCACUUUAAGAGGUCUGAGUUUGGUUUGUUUAAAACUAAAUACACUAAAUAACUCAUGACUGCUCUCAUGUCCAUUUCCUUGCCAAAACAUGUAGUGUCGAUCAAAAAUCUCUGCCUUCAUUUAUUUUAGAGACCUUUUGAAGAGGGUUUCUGAUGUCAUGCUCAUAUUUGGCUUCAUGCAUCUUGCUGAUGCUGUUGCGGGUGUGGCUGGAGGUGUUCUCAGAGGAGCAGGAAAACAAUUGAUUGGUGCUCUGUGUAACCUGGUGGGAUACUACUUCAUUGGUUUCCCUAUUGGUGUGUCCCUAAUGUUUGCAGCAAACAUGGGCAUUGUAGGUAAGACCAGACCAGUAAUUCAGUGUUCUUAAAUUUUCCCUAUUGGUGUGUCCCUAAUGUUUGCAGCAAACAUGGGCAUUGUAGGACUAUGGAUAGGGCUCACCGUUUGUGUGUUGAUGCAGUCGAUUUUCUUCAUCAUGUUUGUGUUCAAACUCGAUUGGAAGAAGGCAGCUGAAGAGGCUCUUGUAAGAGCAGGAAUCCAGAUCAAAGAAGAAAAAGAGAUGGUCGUGAUGGAAAAUACAGACUCGACUCAGAACCACGCUACUGCAUCUAGUGUGGAGAGUGCUGAGGGGGGCAACACAUAUGAGGAGGUGCAUAUGGAUAUACAAAAUAUAUCCGCUACCACUACAGUGGGAAAUAUUCUGUCAAUACCACAGCUGGUUUUACGACGUGGCCUCACAUUGCUGCUUAUGGUCAUUAUUCUUGUCGCUGGAAUCUUCGCAAGCAGCCUCCUCACCAUGCUACUGAAAUGAGUCACCCGCUAACAUAACGCUGGCAGUCAGACAGAAGGAGGUCUGGAUCAAUGGCGUCAUCGGCCGUUAAACGAUACGUUCUAGGGAACAAGUUAUUGAAAUAUGAAUUAACUUGUAAUGAAAGGGUUACUGGUGCUAUUGAGGAUCAACCCCUUAGUCUGCUGCUUUUUGCAGCUAUUAGCCAGUAACCCUCUCAUAUAUGGCAGAAAAUUAAACAAGGCGAUAAGUGUGGAAUAUCUAGCAAGCCAAAAAGACCCAGAUAGUUUUUGAGGAGUUGGCGGACCAAACCUUUUCAAAACCAGUCUGUACAACAAUUUGAAAGUCUUUAUAGCUCAUAGUUGCUUAAAGUGGCAAUAGACAUCUUUUCAGCUUUUCCCCCACUAGCGUUUCCAAAUCGUAUUAUUGUUGGUGCCGCUGUAGCAAAUAGAACUGGAUAGUUUACGUUACUUUUUAUUAGUGCUGGGCGAGUUAACGCGAUAAUAACGCAGUUUUUUUUAAAUUAUUAUUAAGCGGAUAUUUUUAACACCAGAACCAGCCGGUCGGCCGGCAUCGAGUGGUGAACAGCUGUUUGUGUGGCGUCUCUUCCCGUUUCCUUCACCUACACUCCCCUGGGUCCUAAGUCUUCUUCU